rnacentral:lncRNA from 1 species
AAACAGCAGCUUGAUUCAUUCCCUGCUUUUGAAUUUUUUUAGGAUGAUUUGUGUGAUAGUGUGAGUAAGCCUUUAACACUGAAUGCUUACUUUUAAUAUAUCAAAUAAUCAAAAUAUCCCACCUUUUAAGUAUGGUUUCCCACAAGUCUUUGUUGAAAAGUUGUUUUCAAUUUUCUUACUAUUUCUGAAUGAUUACACUCAUUUGUGUGUGUGUGCAUGUGUGUGCGUGUACAUACAUGUGCAUGUGUGCAUAUGCAUGUGCUUGUGACAUCUUUCUGAGUUUUUUUCUUGACCAUAUUAAUUUUUCCUUCAGCGCUCUGUGCGUUUGCCGAUGUAGACCAUGUAGAGAUAAAGCUUUCUCUUAUUUUAGACUGCUAUAUUGGACCAAUGGAGAAGCCUUUUCUAUAGAAAGAUUUUCUUUGUUUUAUAGAAAGAUAAGCAUUGAUCAUCUCACCUGCAGUUUACCUAAAGUUUAAAGACCACACUGUAAACCUAAGACAUGGCUCAAAGUACUCGAGAGAGACGGCAACAGAAAAAAUAUUAACAUCUUUAUUAUUUACUGAAUAUUUUUGGGGGGUGUGUGUGUGGUACAGCCUUUUUUUUCCCCCUCUGUUGAUGUCACUGUAAAGUGUCUCAGACAUGGACUUUGUUUUGCUCCAUGCCAAGUGAUUGCUGAAUUUAUAAGGAGCUUUCUUUUCUAAGUGGUGACUGUCCCAACCACAUUGAGGGCGACUUUCCUGAGAAAGUCACAGCACGGGAAGCAACAGCUCCUUUUGUUUUGUUUUUAAACUCUUGAAAUGGUGUUGGGACAUCAGACCUCAGCCACAGUGAAGUUUUCCAGACUCACGUUGUUGCAUGAUUAAUGUCCCUGUUGAAGUCAUAUCGGCAUUACUGUCUUCAUUGGCUUUAAUUCAAAUGAAAUGUCCCCUUUGGGUUAACUGUUGUUUGGAUUUUUUUUACCUAGAAAAAUCAGAACAUAAAAGUGAAUGCUUUUUUCUUUCUUUGUGAUGCUGAAAACCAGCCCAUAAGCAUAAACAGCAGAUGCCCUACCACCGAGCUAUACCUCCAGACCCAAAUAUGUAUUUCAAAGUACUAUGUCCAUAAAAAUCUUGUG